rnacentral:rRNA from 1 species
GAGUUUGAUCAUGGCUCAGGAUGAACGCUGGCGGCGUGCCUAACACAUGCAAGUCGAACGGACCUUCGGGUCAGUGGCGCACGGGUGAGUAACACGUAGCUAACCUGCCUUCAAGAGGGGGAUAACGUUCCGAAAGGAAGGCUAAUACCCCAUAAGCUCCCGCCGAAUAGAGAGGUGAGAGAAAAGCGUAUACGCUUGAAGAGGGGGCUGCGGCCCAUCAGCUAGUUGGUAAGGUAACGGCUUACCAAGGCGACGACGGGUAGGGGACCUGAGAGGGUGAACCCCCACACUGGGACUGAGACACGGCCCAGACUCCUACGGGAGGCAGCAGUGAGGAAUAUUGGUCAAUGGGGGGGAACCCCUGAACCAGCAACGCCGCGUGGGUGAUGAAGGCCUUCGGGUCGUAAAGCCCUUUCCAGGUGACGAGCAAGGACGGUAGCCUGGGAAUAAGUGUCGGCUAACUACGUGCCAGCCGCCGCCGUAAC